GGAAGAGGCGGGGUGGGGGAAGAGCGAGCAGCAGGAACGGCGCCUGCGCGGUGGGCGUGAUCCGGGCACUUAGGGCAGGAUGAACGCUGCUUUCCAAGAUGGCGACGGAGGGAGGAGGGAAGGAGAUGAACGAGAUUAAGACCCAAUUCACUACCCGGGAAGGUCUCUACAAGCUGCUGCCGCACUCGGAGUACAGCCGGCCCAACCGGGUGCCCUUCAACUCGCAGGGAUCCAACCCUGUCCGCGUCUCCUUCGUAAACCUCAACGACCAGUCUGGCAACGGCGACCGCCUCUGCUUCAAUGUGGGCCGGGAGCUCUACUUCUAUAUCUACAAGGGGGUCCGCAAGGCUGCUGACUUGAGUAAACCAAUAGAUAAAAGGAUAUACAAAGGAACACAGCCUACUUGUCAUGACUUCAACCACCUAACAGCCACAGCAGAAAGUGUCUCUCUCCUAGUGGGCUUUUCUGCAGGCCAAGUCCAGCUUAUAGACCCAAUCAAAAAAGAAACUAGCAAACUUUUUAAUGAGGAAUGAACAAAGACAAAGACAUUCUGGAGAGACAUGAGAAGCUAGUAACAGUGACUCAGGACAGAGGUUCUGGAAUGGAGGAGAAGAAUGGUUACUGUGAGGCUUAGAGAGCAUGGGUGUGCCCAGCACCCAUAAGUAGACGCUCCGAUCGGAAGUGAGGCCAGCACUGCUGCUGUUGAUGCUGCCCAUAGACAGUGGUGCCUUGGCUGCCACUCACCCUGAUAACGGCCGAGACACAGGGUACCCCUGACAAAGCACACGUUUUCCCUGCUGUUAAGCACACGAUCUGUUAGGGAGAAACAACGGGUAAGGCAAGUAAGAGACUUACCUCAAUGCAGUUGCAGCCAAGGUCCUUUUUUUUGGGAGGUCUGCUGUUGCUUUAACUGGUGUGCUCAGUCCCCCGUUACCAGUGUGUUACAGUAACGUUUGAUUAGGCCCCCAGAGAGAGAUUGAAGUAGAUGGGCGCGGGAUAUUAUCCCUAAGUUACAUCCAUAUGUCUACUUACAAUAGUCUCAGUGCAACUUUUUUUUUUGGAGAUGGAAUCUCAUUUUGUCCCCUAGGCUAGAGUGCAGUGGCAUGGUCUCGGCUUGCUGUUGCCUUCACAUCGCAGGUUCAAGUGAUUCUCCUGCCUCAGCCUCCGGAGCAGCUGGGAUUACAGGUGUACGCUACCACGCCCAGCUGAUUUAUUUAUAUUUAGUAGAAAUGGGGUUUCACCAUGUUGGCCAGGCUAGUCUCGAACUCCUGACCUCAAGUAAUCCACCCUCGGCCUCCCAAAGUGCUAGGAUUACAGGUGUGAGCCAUUGUGCCCAGCCACAGUACAACUUUUUAAUAUGGGAGUAAAGGUUUUUAAUGUGUUUUGUCAUUGCAAUAACUUUUUUUUUUUUUGAGACGGAAUUUUGCUCCUGUUGCCUAGGCUGGAGUGCAAUGGCAUGAUCUCAGCUCACUGCAACCUCUGCCCCCAAUGUUCAAGUGAUUCUCCUGCCUCAGCCUCCCAAGUAGCUGGGACUAUAGGCAUGCGUCGCUACGCCUGGCUAAUUUUGUAUUUUUAGUAGAGACAGAGUUUAUCCAUGUUGGUCAGGCUGGUCUCGACUGCCCAACCUCAGGUGAUCCGCCCACCUUGGCCUCCCAAAGUGCUGGGAUUACAGGCAUGAGCCACCGUGCCCAGCCUGCAGUAACAUUUUUAAUGGUCCUAUAACUAUUAAUACCUCACUAUUGCAAAGCAGUACUGUUUUUACUUGAUAGUAUGAGUUGUUGAGUUCUAAUGCUGUUUUUGGGGGGUGUCUGUGUGUGUGUGUGUGUGUGUGUGUGUGUGUGUGUGUGUGUGUUUAAGAUGGAGUCUCGCUCUGUCACCCAGGCUGGAGUACAGUGGCACUAACUCAGCUCACUGCAACCUCAGCCUCCCAGGUUCAAGCAGUUCUCCACCUCAGCCUCCCAAGUAGCUGGGAUUACAGUUGCCCGCCACGGUGCCUGGCUAAUUUUUUGUAUUUUUAGUAGAAAUCGGGUUUUACCAUGUUGGCCAGAGUGGUCUUGAACUCUUGACCUCAGGUGAUCUGCCCACCUUGGCCUCCCAAAGUGCUGGGAUUACAGGUGUGAGCCACCGUGCCCAGCCUUUUGUUGUGUGUUUUUUUUUUUUUUUUUUGAGACAGAGUUUCGCUCUUGUUACCCAGGCUGGAGUGCAAUGGCGCGAUCUCGGCUCACUGCAACCUCCGCCUCCUGGGUACAGGCAAUUCUCCUGCCUCAGCCUCCUGAGUAGCUAGGAUUACAGGCACGCGCCACCACACCCAGCUAAUUUUUGUAUUUUUAGUAGAGACGGAGUUUCACCAUAUUGACCAGGAUGGUCUCUAUCUCUUGACCUUGUGAUCCACCCGCCUCGGCCUCCCAAAGUGCUGGGAUUACAGGCGUGAGCCACCACACCCAGCUGUUGUGUUUUUUUAAGGCCCCAAAUAAAAUUUACUUCUAACUGUGCUGCUAGAAGUUUUUAUGUCCUUAAAUUUCUCCACACAUGGUAAAUGGAGUAACAAUGAACUGAUCCUGGGAAAAUUGGGAUUUGAUUUGAUCCUGGUGAAAUGUAAGGCACAGGAAUUGAGAGCCACUGUACUGGAAGCAGACAGCAGUCUGGCUUCCCAGCCCUGAAUUAGCUGGUAUAGGCCUGCUUGACAAGGCCAGUGAUGGGGUGAGCUGUGGACACCCCUAGGCCCUGGGCCAUCAGGUACAAUUGUGUUUGUGGGAUCAGGAGUGCUAGGGCAGCCUGGGCCCAGUGGGACAGCAAGGUUUGGUAGAGGUGUGACGGGGGAGUGGGAGCCUCUUAACCCACCGUUCACCAUCAACAUCAUCCUUUCUCCUCCCUCCUUCGCCAAAAAAAAGCCCUUGUCUGGCCAUGUAAAUUAUCUCUCUAACCCCUUGCUGAAAAAAUUACACGAAGGUCUAAUGGAAAUCCUGGCAGAGUAGCGCUAGAUUUUUAGGUUGCUGGCAUUGGUGCAGGUCAGGUGCUGUUUAUAGGUAGGUCACCAGACAAGGCGGGUAAAGAGGUGGGGGAUGAAAAUAUUGGCUGUGUCCCCAAGGCUGGCUUGCCAGGUGCCUGUGAAUUUAAGAGGCCGGUCAUGUCAUUUACGGCAGUAAAAUGUUGCUGCUGAGUAACCCUUGCCCAAUACGUGGUCCCUGGCCCUGGGCCUGCGCGCUGUGUGGCGUCCAAGCUUCCACUCUUCCUGCUUGGGGUCAUUUGUUAGCAGCCUCCCUUCCAGGAUCUAAUGUUCAUGCAGUGAGCUUGCAUGGCUCAUUAAUUUCUUUUCCAGCUGUUCUUUUAAAAAUCAAGUCAUCCUAUUUCUAUAAUUUUCUGUAAAGAUAUAGCACACAUAGCAAGCACAUGGCCCCAAAGCCACCCAGGCAAAAGUCAGCAUGAUUCUUGGCAGAAUCUGCUCCAAUGUGCCCAGUACCCUCUGUGACCUGAGUUGGGGAAUUCCCACCUGUUAGGUGGAGUGGUAGUGUUCAGCUUGCUGGGGCUGCUGGGCUCCUCAAGGGACGCUUUUCCUGGGGCUUCGGUGCAGUGGAGAACAUUUGGCAGUGGAAGUUGUAGGUAGAUUUGGGAGUCUUGGAUCUUCUGGAUGCAUUUUGGUGAUGUGAUUUGGUGCUCAGAUGGUCUAGAAAGGGUCCGCCCCCGUGGAAGCUGUUGUGCUGGCAAUCCCCACUGCAUGAUCAACUGGCAAGCAGGGAAGGAGACUUGUGCCUUUGGUUGGGGGUGGUAUCUUUGCCUUUUGUUCUUUGGGUUUUAAAGGCAAGACUACCCACAUAUGCCUGUUAAAGAAACAUGUUGGUUAGGGGUCCGGAGUUAGCAUGGAGUAGAGUGAUGAUGAGACACACACUCCCGAAUGAAUCAUCAACAUAUUUCUCUUAAUGCCACCAGAGAGGGUUUUGAGGAAAUGCUGACAGAGAUGCGCAUGGGGCAGUGCUUGAGUGAGGAAGCCUCGGGGACCCAGGGCUGAGGUAGCGCCCAGCGGCGUACUUUGGAGUCACGUGGGCUGCAGAUUUCACUCCCCACCUUCUAGCCAUCAGAGCAGAGGGCAGAUGGAGCCAGCCCAUGACUUACAGUGACAAUAAAUGCAGAGAAACCCUUGAGGUGAGGCAGAGCUCUCCUGGCUGUGAGGACUCAAGAAACUUUAGCUGUGGGUCUUCAUAGAGGGGAUGCCACAUGUUACUGCAGUGACCCCCAGAUCAGAUGCUCCUACUGUUAAAGCGUCCCAGCAGGGCUGUUCCCUCCGGGGACAAUCCUGUGCCUGGCAGAGCAUCUGGCACUUUGUGGCCCCUCUGCAAGUAUUUGUUCACUGCCUGACUCCCUCAGUGAAAGCCAGUAGCCUAACACUGAUUUUAGAAAGUAAUUCUACAAGGGGUCAAAAUGCUCCUUGCUGGCCUGGCUGACUGCAGGAUAAAACGUGGAGGGCCCCGAUGGACUUGCCUCUUCCCACCAGGAAAUACACAAGUUUGCUUGCUGGAAACAUGCACCUUUGAGACUUCUCCGUUGUGCUAACUUGUUCUCCUUUGU